AUGAAAGGAAAGGGAGGCAAAGAAAAAAUCAGCAUCCACUACACUGCUAAAGGCAGUAAGCCUACUGUCCAAUGGGUGGAGAGAGAUGCAGAUGGACGUCGAAUCUUAAAAAGAAGCAGAAGUGGAGAGACAUGGAAAAAACAUACAUCGGCUACAGUUUCUGUUGUCCCUAAGGAGGCCUCUGCUUCUUUUGAGCCUGCUGAGGAGGUUCCCACAGUGACCCAAGACACCCGUUGUCAAUAUGUAUUUGUGCGACUGUUGCCUACAGUGAGACCUUCCCAGCUAUGCACCUGUGACCCUGAAAACAUUACAGAGUCAGCUGGCAGAACAGUUAUCACGGUUUGCAUAAAUGGUCAGUAUGAUUUGCACAUGCCAAAGUUGUUUUGCAGAUUGUACCUGGCACAGUGGACACCUGACAGAAGCGACCUUAUAAAGAGUGGCUACUGGCCAGCAACUGGAAAUGCUGAGACGUUGUUUUCAGUUGAUGUCUUCAGCACAUUUGAAGAAAUGAAAACUGUUGCACCCAGUUUGUCCAGGCAAGCUUUUUUGCGGAUGUUAGAGAGGAGAACUUCUCACUUUGGAAGGGUAGGUUCAGUGUUGAUGACAGUUGCAGAGAUUGGAGAAUAUUACUUUAGCUAUUUCAUGUAA
rnacentral:lncRNA from 15 species